rnacentral:lncRNA from 1 species
CCGGCCACUCCUUGUCGGUGACCAUAGCCGGAGGUAGUUGUGCGAAUGCCUCGCGAGAAGGCAUCAGAUGAGGAAAGGAGGAGUGGGUGCCGGAUAAGAUGACCGGAGGUGGAUCCGUUGAGCGCUCCUUUAAGAACAAGGGUACUGCGAAGACACAGCCCCUUCCUCUAGCGCCAAUCCUGUUGGUGCAAAAAUCCACUUGCGCCGGAGAAGCUGGAGUCGAGGAAGUCGCGGUCGCCGCCGGGACC